GGAUGCCCAUCCCCGGACCUCCCUCCCACCGCCCGCCGGGGCCCGAGGGGGCAGCGACGGCAGAAAAGCUGUUAAAUAUACCGCUGCCAUCCUUUGGCCACGAGUUAGAACCCUUUCAGCAAACUGCUGUCAGUUCUGCAGGAUGGAAUUACUUUAGCUAUAAUCUUGGGAGCUGACCACGGGCGAGCCCCAGACAUCACGUUCUAUAUAGCGUUACUUCCAAAUUCUGCGCAGAAUACUUGUCUUUUCUCUGAAAUAAUUCACUGUCGACUGUUACUGAACCUUUGAUUCCCCCCCACACACACACACCACACCACUGCUGCACAUCUGCAAGACCACCAAAAGCAGGAGCACUAAAGUAGAUCAGGAAACAAGAGGAUGCCGAACUGCCAGGCACAAGCUGAUGCCAACCCAUAAAACUUAGUACGUAUUCCUGGCAAGGCCAAAGGGAAAGCAGCAACUGGAGUUAACCAGGAAUCACAGAAACAGCAGUGAAAAGAAGCCUUGGACACGGGUAAUGCACGGCAGCAGGGCCGACAAUGCCACUUAACAACUUCAUGUCCAUAUUCCAUAAAAUAGAAAAUCUCUGCAGGGAAAGGGAGUAAAUUGGAGCGCACUGGAUUAGCUGUAGCUGGGGAAAGUGUACUGUGAAUGUCUGAUUAGAGAGAAACUACAGCAGAGUUAAUUUUCCAACUGCAACUGUAGUUUUUUAACUGUCAACAAAGAGCAGGAGUUUUAAGGGGCAAUCCAGGAAGCAGCAGGGAAGCAUCUCUCAGCUUUUCAAGGUUAAUUGAGAAAAGGGGAGAGUCGAGUAUACUGGUAGGACUCGGGAAAUUACAUGCAAUGGUGCCGCUUGAGGACUGCAUCUAUUCACAGGAGUGAAGAAGAUUCAGAGCCACAGCUUCUCCCUGGCCUCAUCUUUUUCCAUGGCAUUUCACAGAUUUCAAGAUGUGUCCUUGUCUUUAACUCUGUGGUCAAGAUUUUAAUGUACUCUGCAUGGCAGUGUCUUGAUUCUGCAGAGAGACUUGUGUACAGACAUACUGCAACAGUCAUUUUACUGGAAAUAAUAUCUCUGAAAAUAAACUAGAUGGCAAAAAGGAAUGCUAGAGAUGUAUUAAAAAGACUUGCAGUUAAGUAAUGAGUUGUCCCUAUCAAGAGGAAAGACAGAAUUAAACAUUUUGAUAAAUGUAAGUUUGAGUGAAAAAGAACCAGCCCAUCCACCUUGCAAGAAUUAUAGCCUGUCUUUGAGAUGGCUCAAAUGGAAGCACUGAGCAGGUAGAAAGCCACUUGGUAUAUGCUUGAACAGCUCUGAACAAUUCAGUGUCAUCAACAAGUUUGCAGUUCUGGAAGAAAAAGAGGAGG